rnacentral:rRNA from 1 species
GAUGAACGCUAGCUACAGGCUUAACACAUGCAAGUCGAGGGGCAUCAGGAAGAAAGCUUGCUUUCUUUGCUGGCGACCGGCGCACGGGUGAGUAACACGUAUCCAACCUGCCCUUUACUCGGGGAUAGCCUUUCGAAAGAAAGAUUAAUACCGCAUGAAGCAGGGGUCCCGCAUGGGGAUAUUUGCUAAAGAUUCAUCGCUGAUAGAUAGGCAUGCGUUCCAUUAGGCAGUUGGCGGGGUAACGGCCCACCAAACCGACGAUGGAUAGGGGUUCUGAGAGGAAGGUCCCCCACAUUGGUACUGAGACACGGACCAAACUCCUACGGGAGGCAGCAGUGAGGAAUAUUGGUCAAUGGGCGUAAGCCUGAACCAGCCAAGUCGCGUGAGGGAUGAAGGUUCUAUGGAUCGUAAACCUCUUUUAUAAGGGAAUAAAGUGCGGGACGUGUCCCGUUUUGUAUGUACCUUAUGAAUAAGGAUCGGCUAACUCCGUGCCAGCAGCCGCGGUAAUACGGAGGAUCCGAGCGUUAUCCGGAUUUAUUGGGUUUAAAGGGAGCGUAGAUGGAUGUUUAAGUCAGUUGUGAAAGUUUGCGGCUCAACCGUAAAAUUGCAGUUGAUACUGGAUAUCUUGAGUGCAGUUGAGGCAGGCGGAAUUCGUGGUGUAGCGGUGAAAUGCUUAGAUAUCACGAAGAACUCCGAUUGCGAAGGCAGCCUGCUAAGCUGCAACUGACAUUGAGGCUCGAAAGUGUGGGUAUCAAACAGG